rnacentral:rRNA from 1 species
UAUGGUGCAAGCGUUAUCCGGAUUUACUGGGUGUAAAGGGAGCGUAGACGGUUGUGUAAGUCUGAUGUGAAAACCCGGGGCUCAACCCCGGGACUGCAUUGGAAACUAUGCAGCUAGAGUGCCGGAGAGGUAAGCGGAAUUCCUAGUGUAGCGGUGAAAUGCGUAGAUAUUAGGAGGAACACCAGUGGCGAAGGCGGCUUACUGGACGGUAACUGACGUUGAGGCUCGAAAGCGUGGGGAGCAAA